rnacentral:rRNA from 1 species
CAGUCGCCACGGUAAUACGUAGGUGGCAAGCGUUAUCCGGAAUUAUUGGGCGUAAAGCGCGCGUAGGCGGUUUCUUAAGUCUGAUGUGAAAGCCCACGGCUCAACCGUGGAGGGUCAUUGGAAACUGGGAAACUUGAGUGCAGAAGAGGAAAGUGGAAUUCCAUGUGUAGCGGUGAAAUGCGCAGAGAUAUGGAGGAACACCAGUGGCGAAGGCGACUUUCUGGUCUGUAACUGACGCUGAUGUGCGAAAGCGUGGGGAUCAAACAGGAUUAGAUACCCCAGUAGUCCCUGUCUCUUAUAA